GAGCAGCAGCUUGUAGGGGCUGCUGUGCGUUAAUGAGAACCUGUACAGAUGCAGUAACUCAGGGCACAUCCUAUCAGAGUUUAUUCAUGUCAGGUCACAGGUCUAUGAACACUAGAACAUCCAUCCUGCACAAUAAAGCCUAAGGAUA